CAACUGCUGUGAUCACAUCCUGCUGUGACUGAGGGGAAGUUUGGCUUGGAAAGAACUUGUUGCACAGACACAUGUGGGCUCAGCAGGAUGGAUCCUUAACGGAGGAGACAGAUUCCAGAUUCAGGCCCGCUGGAGCAGGGCUUAAAUCCUCCGAAUUUGGAUGGAUGGAUACUGGGCCUACUUCAGCGUC